CCUCCUUCAGUUCUAGUCCCCCUGAAGCAUCUCUCCUGAGAGCCAGUCCUGGACCUCGACCCUUGGCUGCCCAGCCAGCACUCAUGAGUAUAAUUCCUGCUGAUAAUCUACAACAUUGACUUGUACAUGGGAAGGCAAACAUUUGUUAGAAAUUCUUUCUGCUACCUUUGAUCGGAAUGAAAGAAAAAAAAUCAAGAGAUAUUAAAAUCAACUACAAAGGCAAAGGAACCUGUCUUUUCAGGGUUCCAGGCUUUCAUGGUUGGUCUGGCUGUCAUCA
rnacentral:lncRNA from 1 species